AUCUCUUAAUCCCAUUCAUACAAAAAAGAACACAUCUAAAAAAUUGUUCUUCAUUGACAGCAGCCUAUCCUCACUCUCUCCCUCCCUUCCUUGUAGUCGCACGUAGCAGCACGUACCAGCGGUUUUCCAUUCAUCAACAGCCCUGUGUCGCCCUCCAUGCAGUAGCCAUCAUGUCGUCCUCCACGUAGCAGCAACCCCUUAUCACUCUCCAGUGUCAUGCCUUCCUCCACUCCUCCCUAUAAUUGCUACUCUCUAUCUUUUGUUUGCAGCUGUUCAGCCCUGCCGUUUCCGUCGUCUAGCCCCACAGUUUUCGUCAACACAGUCCUCUGCAUUUAGAAUGGAGCCUCAAGUAAUUUACAGUAAACUAACUGAUAAGAGCGAUGUGUAUGCUUUUGGAAAAAAUUAGUAUAUGCCCUCAUUUGAUACUUCUACAUCAGUUACUUUGCAUUCUGUAUUCUAUUUGUUAGAUUUGUAGCAGAAUAAUAGAUUGCACAAAAUGGCUAUACCUUCUAUUUUGUGUACUUCUAUUGCUGAAGGCAGAAACUUGUUAUGUUCCAAUCACUUUUGUCCAAAAUGCGAUCACAAAAGGAGCCGGUGAGAAGUUUUUUGCUGUGUCUGAUAGAAGUUAACUUUCUUUAUUGAGCUAUUCUUUUUUUGCUAUGAACAUUGCUUUGUUGGUACAAUUUGGAAGUAGCUAUUUGAUUGGGUGCUAAGUCCCUGUUCUCAGUUAUUUGUAGUGUGCAACAAUUGUAAAAAUGAUUCUAGGAAAUAUUUAGGCCAAAAUAGGUAGUGAAAUGCGGUGAAAUUUCUGAAAAUUAUGCAUUAGUUAUUAGGAAUAAGAUGGUAUCCUCUUUUUUAGCUUACCUUAUGCACAUUACAUCAGUAAAUAGAAUUAUCCUCUUCUAAGGAGGUCCUUUUACGAAUCUGUAUUUAAACUGUUGAAAAGUAUCACCAAUUUUAACCAAGGAAAGGGGUGUGUAGCGAAAAGAAAGCGCAAAUAGAGAAUUAUCUUUAAUGUUGUUCUUGUAAUUAUAUAGACUGGGCAUUUAUGGAUGACAUUUAUUCAAAUUUGGCCUUAGUACUCGAGUAUAUUCCUAUAAAGUAAUAGGUUCCUAGAGAAAUUUUAAGGCAUUACUGUGUCAUUUAUACAAGUACCUGGAAUAAAAAAAUGCCUAAUAAUAAUGGAAUCUUCCUUUAAUUGUUGAAAAUUAAAUUGACCAAAGAAAUGUGCUAUUUGAUUUAAUCACAAAAAAUGUUCAUCAUUCAAGUUUGUAAGAGUCAAGUUUCCAAAACAAGUAUACAGAUACACCAAAAACAAAUAGGAAUAUAAUAGUACUUCAUCAUCAAAAAAGAAAACAGUUGCUUUUACUCAAAACUCCCUUAACAAAAUCUUGCCUUAACCUCCCUGAUUUUGCUUCCAAUGGCUUGAACAAGUCCUUGAAGGAAGCAUGGAACUCCAAUGCCAUGAUACUCGGGCUUUAGUCAAAACAAAUUUUCCAAGCUUCAAAUCAUUUCUAUAUUCUCCUGGUCUACAAGAAUAAUCGUGAUGCAUUAUACUAACCAAAAUAAUCAGGCUAUAGCCAUCAGUUCUAUAUUAUUUUCCAGCUUCUUCAAAUAAAUGAACUGCUCACCAAGUUGUGCCUCAAGAGCAGCUUGAACAUCAGGCGCCAGAGCUUUAUAUAAAAAUACUUGGUGAGGUUGAGUUUAGUCAAGAUUUCAAAGAUUUUUAUACAAAAUUUCUAUACCUCUGACCUCCUUGCUUGCUUGCUUGGCAUAUUUGUCACCAAAUCUUUCAUUAAAUUGGAGAGCUUAUCCAAAUUGCUCUUAAGAACCUUUUCGGCUGCAUUCUUAUUAUCACUACUCAAAACCUGAUUUUU